CCACAGGCCGUAAACCCAAGGUUUCCAGGGGAAGGUUCGUCCGCCCUGGGUUAGUCGGGACCUAAGCUGAGGCCGAAAGGCGUAGGUGAUGGACAACAGGUUGAUAUUCCUGUACUACCGAUAACCGGUUGAGAGAAGGGAUGACACAGUAGGAUAAGCUAAGCACACUGUUGGUUAUGUGUGCCCAAGCAUUGAGGCAGUCAAAGUAGGCAAAUCCGCUUUGAUAAUGCUGGGAUGUGAUGGGGAGCGAAAUUUAGUAGCGAAGUAGCUGAUUUCACACUGUCAAGAAAAGUCUCUAUCGAGGUUAAAGGUACCCGUACCGCAAACCGACACAGGUG
rnacentral:rRNA from 1 species